AGAGAGGUCAAAAAGAAGCCUCUGGGGGCCGGGGAUGUAGCUCAGUGGUUCAGUGGCCUGCCUUGCAAGCGCAAGGACCUGAGUUCAAUUCCCGGUACAAAAAAAAAAAAAAAAAAAAAAAAAAAAAAAAAAGAGAGAGAGAAAAAGAAAAAGAAGCCUCUGCUUAAACACAUGUUCUUGUGUUUCAUUCCAGGUAUCCUGCUAACACGAACCAGUAGGUGUCAAGUUUUUGAGACAUUAUACUCAUCAGCCAUGGGACAUCUUUUCUAAUGAGCAUUAGGAGACUGGGCUUAAAUUCCCUCAUUGGUUUGCCACUGUUGGACAUGUAUGCUACCCAAGGCCUCUGGAUGUCAGCGUGCCCAGUACAAAGUACUCAAGUGGAUCCCUAAAUACCCACAUAAAUGUGGACUUCAGCCCAGGCCACUGACAAGGUCCCAAUCUCCAUGUGCAUAGGUUUCCUUCAUGAGAGAUCAGGAACAGAAAGAACACCACGACCGGAACCUCAUGGAAAUGUCAGAUUUGACACUUUGCGACAAAUCUCUGAUGCUUCAGGCCCAGAACACCAACUAUACCUUGCCGCCUCAUUGUGCACCAUCAGUGGCAAGGGUAUCCCUUUGCAUUCCCAGACCAAGGAUUGGAAGAGUCUCAGCUUCGAAAGGGUGGCGUUCUUGCAGAGGUUAUUGCCUGUGAGGAGCUCUUGGCACAGGGAUCAGUUAGUGGAGGAGGCUUUGCAGGUGUCAUGGUAG
rnacentral:lncRNA from 1 species